UCCGCUUUGGUCCACUAAAUGAGUGCUGCCGAGUGUCCUCUGAUCCUUAAGCACCUCCAUUUGGGCCGAGCUGAGCGGUGAAAACACCAUAGAUGACACGAGGACCAUCUGGUGAGUCAUUCUUGCUAUGGACAUAUAAAGUUACAUUUCUGUUGUUGUAUUACACUAAAUGUAACCUAUUAAUGUAUAACACUAAUUCUUUAUUAUAUAUAACAUUGGUUCUAGUGCAUGAAAUCUACACUGGCUGAUAUUUUAAAGAGCCCUGUGAUCCCUUGUGACAUUACAUACAUAAUUAAAUAACUACAUACCUGUUGCUGGUUGCCAUUGUGAAUUCAUUAAUUAAAUAUGUCAUGAAAUAUGUCAAAUUCAUCCAUCAAAGCUGGUGAUCAGAGUAUGUCACAAUCAGUCGAUGGUGAGAUUUUUUUUUCAGCAAAUUAGGUAAAGAGAUUUGUUUGUUGAGUUUGUUUGUUUGUUUGUUGAGUCAGAAAAUAACUGGAUAAUGUAAAUCCAUAAUAGAACUGAACUGAGUUUUAUUCAGGUGGACGACCCUCCCCUUUCUGCUCAAACAUUUAUGGUAGUGUAUGCAUGAAUACAAUCAAAAAGCAUCCAAUACUACGGUAGGCUACAGCCCACUUUAGCAUUUAGCGCUAACAUGAAACUUUGAAUGUGCAUUCAGAAUAUUAUCCACCAGUACAGGCUUGGAGUUAAAUGUGCCUGUAAUGUUAGUCACCAGAUACAUUCAAAACAAACCAACCCUAAUAUGUGUAAUCGGCGGAGCAAGAUAUUUCUUGAAAAAAAAAACACUCCCUUGAGUGAAAGAAAGAAGAAAGAAAUUGAACAAGAAAAGCAGAUAUUCGCAGUUUGAAGAAAGUCUUUCCACUGGUCACAAAAAGACAAAUGGUCACUCCUCCUGAAGAGUGUGUUUAGUGGGAGAGCUUUCUGCUGCACUGCACACCGUGCGGUCAUCAUCAUCUUCUGAUGUCGUGAAGUCUGCUGUCCUCGCUGCACAUGAGAUCUCUCCAGAAGAUUACACACACCAUGGUUGUGGAACCUGAAGGAGAGAGGAGACCAUACCCACAUACAAUAUUCUGGGGAAAAGGAAAUAGCUUUUGAUAGAUGCGUUCGUUUCUAAAACAUCCGUCAUGAUUAUGAGAAAUUGAGGUGAAAAACUAUCUAGAAGAUCCAAGCAAGGACAUGAAGAAAGCUGCUGCUGUGGCAGAUGAUUUUGAGCUCACUCAUUCAAAGCAGAGCAGGGUACUUGUAGACCUUGUAGAGGUGAUAUGGGAGUAGUUAAUUAAAAAAAAAAAAGUUUUUAAAUGUAUUUAAUAAUAAUUUAAUACAUUUUCAUUUAUUAAGUUUAAGUUUUGGUGGGGAAGUGUUCCUGUACACAUCUAUACACACAUUUCAUAAGUACAUUUACAUGCAUUUACAUUUUGUUUAUUUUAUAACAUUUAUUAAAACAGGUGUGACAUUUUCAAACAUCUUAGUCCUUGUAAAAAGAUCAAAAUAAUUUAAAUAAAACUGGGGGAAAAAACCUAAAGGCAUAAAGCCAGGCGGGCUCUCUGUGCAAGACUGAUGGGGGCCACGGGAGAAGGUAAGUCUCAUCUCUUUGGGGGUCUGUCAGGUGCCAGACGACCAUUUGAGUUCCGUUUGUGUUGUUUUGUUACGCACACACACCUUAGAUACUGCCACACUUUCUGUCCUUUCGAGAGCAUAGGUUUAACAAGCUGGCAGAGUAGCCUGGUAUGCAACAGUAUUUUGUUCCACCUAUGAAACAUAUUUGGUAUAACAGUGGCAUCUUUGGUAACACAGCCUUUUGAGUCAAUUAGUGAACCUAGCAUACAGCCAUCUUAUGUUUCUUUUCUUUCUCCAUAGACAGCUUGUCAGGAGCCGUGUCAAAUGUGUAUCAGUGUUGUUCUAUAUUUAAGAGCAGGCCCCUCCACCCUACAACAUAAAGCUGGAUCCAGGCGUGCUCCGCUCGCAAACACAUAUGACAACACAAGAGCCAAGUAUCCAGCUGAUAGCUAGCCCUGUUGACUGUAAGCAGUCACUCAUUACAGGGGUUUCCUAGUUCCUGCAGUCGAGAAAUAUCCCCACAGCAUCUGGGUGGUGUGAUACAACUUCCACCUCAUCCAUAUGGAUCCAGUGAUUGUCAACUGGACAUCAAAACCACUUGGAUCCACUUCUCACAUCGCACUUAGGCAUUUGAAUCACCUUGUCUCUUUAGGCUUCAUUCCCUGUUAUUCCCACCCUGGCACAUGACCCUUAUACAGACUGAUUUUUAGAUCCAGAGGGAGAUCUCUAAUUUAACCACUGAAAAGUACUGCCUAAUUAUCCAAUUCAAUUCAAUUUUAUUUAUAUAGCGCUAAAACAAUACAAGUGUCUCAAGGCGCUUUAUGAUCAGUUAUGGUCAACUAAUUGCCACCUUUUUUAUCAUUUGUGAUUAAUUUGCCAUCUGCCUUAAUCUAGAUCUCAAAAGUGUGGGCGUCUGAAUACUUAUGCAAGUAGUAUAUUUCAAUUUUGAAUGUAUUUAUUUUUAACAUUAGCAGAUAAAUCAGUUAUGUUGCCUUUGAAAUAUACUAGAGCAUAAAUAUUAAUAAUAAAAGUAUGGAUUGGAAAA